UACGGGGGGGGCAAGCGUUGUUCGGAAUUACUGGGCGUAAAGGGCUCGUAGGUGGCCAACUAAGUCGGACGUGAAAUCCCUCAGCUUAACUGGGGAACUGCGUCCGAUACUGGAUGGCUUGAGUUUGGGAGAGGGAUGCGGAAUUCCAGGUGUAGCGGUGAAAUGCGCAGAUAUCUGGAGGAACACCGGUGGCGAAGGCGGCAUCCUGGACCAACACUGACACUGAGGAGCGAAAGCCAGGGGAGCAAACGGG
rnacentral:rRNA from 1 species